UUGUGUAUAAGUAAUAGAGGAGGCAUAGAGUGGGCAAGAGUCACAUGAGGGAGCCCUGAAGAGGAACAUCUCGUUAGAUUAGAAUUAAGGACGGGCGGGGGGGUUAUUGAUGAUGAUGAUGAAGAAGAAGUUUUGCCCUUAUAUAUUAAAUUGUAUCCACAUGGUUUACCCCUUUCCCUCUCAUUUAAUUCUUGGUGGUUGGGUAUAUUCAAUUAGCCCUCCCCUCUUAGCCAGCUCUACACCACAAUUACAGACGAUGAGUUAUAUUUGGUAGCCGGCCAGCCAGCCAAAUAGACGGGCUUGAAAAGUUUUGGAGUUAAUAAUUAAGGGAUUGUACUGGGCAUGCAGCAGUAGCUUGGGCCAGUUGUAGUACGAGUGAGGGGGCGUUUCUCGUUAUGGCAGUAAAGAAGAGCCAUGGCAUCAAUUAUCCUGGAGGUGCCAUUAAUGUUAUCAUCUCCCUAACUUUAUAAUCAACUCAUCUGUUUCAUUUUUCUUUUGCUUGCAGUGGUAUUCAAUUCCAUGACAUUUACCACUGCUGCUAUCAUACUGUUAACAGCCAGGUUGUGUUCAUGAGCAAAACCCUUCAGUUUUGGGACCAAUUGUUAAUGAUGAUUCAUUUAUAAAACGUUUCUGCAGCUCAAUGAGGUGAAACACAGACCCACGUAUCCUCUAAUCCUCGCCAAUGCAAGCGCCAUAUAAUCUUUCAAUUUCUUCUCUGUUUUUUGUUCUAGUUCCAACCUCAACAUAGUCUUCAGCGUCUGUAAGUUGUUGAUUUGUACAUUGCUUACCAACUCAUAUGAUUUCUUGAUUUUUUUUUUGAGUUUUUUUUUACAAUCAAUUAAAUUUUAUAAAUUGAUGUUUAAUCGAGCGGUAAUUGUUAAAUACAUCAGUGAUAG
rnacentral:lncRNA from 1 species